rnacentral:rRNA from 1 species
UACGUAGGGUGCGAGCGUUAAUCGGAAUUACUGGGCGUAAAGCGUGCGCAGGCUGUUCUGUAAGUCAGAUGUGAAAUCCCCGAGCUCAACUUGGGAACUGCGUUUGAAACUACAGGACUAGAAUAUGUCAGAGGGGGGUAGAAUUCCACGUGUAGCAGUGAAAUGCGUAGAGAUGUGGAGGAAUACCAAUGGCGAAGGCAGCCCCCUGGGAUAAUAUUGACGCUCAUGCACGAAAGCGUGGGUAGCAAACAGG